GAGUGAUAGAACUUUUUGCACUGCUUGUACUAUGGCUGAAGAAGGCAGUAACAGCGUUACUUACCCGCAAGAUAUUUUUGCUGUAGGCUUUAAGAAUCGCACAGGCGUUUUAGGCUGAAGACCUAGUGAGGGACAUAGCUACUUGGUUAGCUCUAGGAGAGUUUAGGCCUUGGGUAGUUGGGUAGACAUGCAGUGAUGUACCUGGUAUGUUUAUUCUAAAAUUGGCUGUACUUGGAUGCAGUACACUUGUGCAUUAUAACACACAGAAAUCACAUGGAGUUAAUAAAAUCUGUACAAGAAUAAUUUUAAACAGUGCUUUUUUUUGGUGAAAUUUUUACUGGAAGCUUUGCUACAUAUGAGGAAAAGGGAGAAAUGUGUUACUGAACAUUUAACAUAAUUAUAUUUUAGUUCUCAUAAUUUGGAACAGGGUGGUGCGUAUGAUCAGAAGAAAGGAACUUUUUUCCUUUCAGUUACAUUCCUGAUUUCUUGAUUAGUUUUUUCACCAUUGAUUUUAAUUUUUUUUUCCAGUGAAUACAGAGGAAGUUAAGAAGCUCAAGUCUUUGAAUAAAUUUCUUGCUUAACAAAGUGAGAGCUGUAUAAUGAAUUCACUCUCUGCAUCCUACCUGUUAACUGAGAGUAUUGCUAGGUGCAGACUUACUAUGUAAUAUGAAGCCUAUGACUUUGAUUAAAAUUGUUACAUUUAGUGUCUGGUUCUCCCAUUUUAUCUUCCCCACCAGCUUAGCAUUUCACUGUAUGCAUGAAAACUAGUAUGUUAAGUAACUCAAACAUUCUAAUGUGUUGCUCUGUUUUUUAGGUUCUAUUCCUGGACCAAUUUUGUUUGGUGCUGCUAUAGACAACAGUUGUACUCUGUGGGAUAUUGAUGAAUGUGAAACUAAAGGAGCUUGCUGGGUAUAUGACAAUGAAAGAAUGGCUUAUUUGCUCAUGGGCAUAAGUACUGCUUGCAAAAUCAUCACAAUCAUCUUUGUGGUCAUGGCAGUGUAUUUCUACAAGCCUCCACCAUUAACUGAAGCCCUGCAACAAAAGACGUCAGAAAAGAUAUCUGCUAUACACACAUAAAUUAUGAGCAAAUCAGGGACUUGUGAAAGAAAACUGUAAAAAUAAGCAUUAUUACAACACUUGUACCAAAGUUCUUGUACACCGUUGCCUAAAUAUAAAAGAUCAUAUUCAACAUUGAAGAACUUGAAAUAUUUUGAAUCUGCGCUAUUCUCUAAUUCAUUUAGUAUUCCAUUGUGGCUGUCCAAAGAAGUCACACUGAAAUUAGCAGUCUAAUUUUAAAAGUCUAGUAUGAAACUUAAUUGAAGUAAGAUGGAAUACUCUGAUCAUAAAACAGGAAAAAUAAAGUGAACUGAGCUGUGUUUAUCCCUAAAUGU
rnacentral:lncRNA from 1 species